rnacentral:rRNA from 1 species
CCUACGGGAGGCAGCAGUGAGGAAUAUUGGUCAAUGGGCGCGAGCCUGAACCAGCCAAGUAGCGUGAAGGAUGACUGCCCUACGGGUUGUAAACUUCUUUUAUCGGGGAGCAAAAGACGCCACGCGUGGCGUCCCGAGAGUACCCGAAGAAAAAGCAUCGGCUAACUCCGUGCCAGCAGCCGCGGUAAUACGUAGGGGGCAAGCGUUAUCCGGAUUUACUGGGUGUAAAGGGAGCGUAGACGGCAGGGCAAGUCUGGAGUGAAAGGCAGGGGCCCAACCCCUGGACUGCUCUGGAAACUGUGCGGCUGGAGUGCAGGAGAGGUAAGUGGAAUUCCUGGUGUAGCGGUGAAAUGCGUAGAUAUUAGGAGGAACACCAGUGGCGAAGGCAGCUUACUGGCCUGUAACUGACGUUGAGGCUCGAAAGCGUGGGUAGCAAACAGGAUUAGAUACCCCAGUAGUC